AAGGCAGACUGGAGUACUGCAACAGAGACCUUGUGGCCUGCAAAGCCUAAUAUAUUUACUAUCUGAUCUUUUAACAGAGAAAUGUGUAGACCCCAGUCUAAAUAUAAAACAAAAUCCUUUGUUAAGACCGUAGCCAUAGCCCAGAAACUUCAACUGUUCAAACGAGGCUCCUGAGGAAUUUAAAGGUGGUGUCUCAGCAGAAGUCCACAGGAAAAUAAGCUGGUCUCCAAAUGAUCUGUGGGUGUGGCUCCUGUCUAAUGGGAGUGAACCCAUAGGAGAUUCACAGGAGAUUCACACAAAUAUUUUAAGAGAAAUAGGUUAAGAGAAACACUAGCCUGGAUUGAUAGGUACCAUGAUAUUCUACAAGGAAAAGGCUUUUGGAUUCCCACAUUUCUACUAGGAAAAAGAAGGCUGAGAAAAUUACUUAGCCACAACCCCAUGCGACCGUUCAUGAAAAAGGAAGGAUGAUCCAAAAGGCGGAAUCAAGACCGUGGAGAAUUAUUACCAGGCCCACAGUUCUAAUCUAAGAACUCCCAAUGUUUGUCCAAAGCUUUUUUGUCAAAAUGUUUGUCAAAGCUCUUCCGGACUGGUGCCCCCUGUGCCUCCUGUAUCCUCUCUGGACAGCAGAGCUCACAGUGGCCAUCCUGUACCUGUCCCACCACUGUGUUCGAGAACGGGCAGUAACAAGUCUCUCUGGUUCACAGUUCUCUCCCGUCUCUAAUUACAAGACCUGCACUCAAGGUGUCAUACUCUAGGAAUUACAACAUUCAGCCUCAUUUGCCCCUAGAUGGGAUUUGGAUGACACCAUCCCAGAUUCUGAAUGGAUAUUGUAGAAGUGAGGGUCCUGGGGAAGCCAGGGAGGGGGUGAGCAUAUUUUCCAUGUGGCAGGAAUGUAAACAAUCUGUGCCAGGAGGUGCAUAACGGUGGUUUUAAAUGUGUUCACAAAUUCCUUGUCACUUCUCCCUUUGAGAGGUGGUGUUUACAAGCCACCCCCAUCCCCCCAAUCAAACUAUGGGUUGGACUUAGAGACUUGUUUCAAGAAAACCGAACAGGGCCGAUUGUCAGUGUGUGGCUCAAGGCUAGGUCAUAAAACACACCGUGCCUCCUCCUUCUCUUUUGGGUCACCGGCUCUGAGGGAAGACAGCUGCCCUGUUAUGAGGGCACUUAAGCGGCCUAAUGGAGAGGCCAACAAGGUGAGGGACUGGCCCACAGCCAUGAGAAGGAGCCAUCUUGGAGGCAGGCCAACCAGCCUCAGUCGAGCCUGCGGAGACUGAAGCCCAGGGCAACAUUCUGACCACAACCUCUUGAAAGACCCUGGCCAGAACCACCUACAGAGGCUGCUCACAGAAACUUUGAGGUACUAAGUCUUUGUGGUUUUAAGGUGCUAAGUUUCAGAUAAUUUUUAAUGCAGCAGUAGAUAAUACAUCCUAAAUAUAAAAAUAAAUAUACAAAAUAUACCCUACUCAAAUGCCACGUUCAAUGUGGGUUAUUUGGAAUAACAUACAAAAAUUCUACGUUGCAGGAAAUGUUUAUAUUACUUCUACUUUGGUCUGAUCUGAUUCUUUUUAAAAGAAACCUUUAAUCUUGGAAAAAUUUUAGAUUUGCAGAAAGGUUACAAAGACAGUACAUCAUUCCCAAAUAGCCUUCACUUAGUUUCCCCACAUGGUAGCAUCUUCCGUAACUCUGGUACAAUGGUCAAAACUAAUAGAUUAACAUAGGGUCAUCGCUAUUAACUAAACUCAAACCUUAUUCUCGUUUCCCCAGUUUCUCCACAGAUAUCUUUUUUCUUCUAGGAUCUAAUUCAGAAUACCACAUGCCUUUAGUAAUUUUCACAGCCCGAAAAUGAAGGAAUUAAACGAGGCAGACUUGGUGGUUGCUCCACACAUGUGCCGUAUUUGUCAAACUGAUAGGGCAUGUAUGGGAAACACAAGUUCCUACCACACUGAAGGAGUGAGUGGACUGAAUCGCUGCCCUCAAAAAGAGAUGUCCAGGCCCUACUUUCUAAAACCUGUGAACAUUACCUGAUUUGGAAAAAGGGUUUUUGCAGAGUUUUUAAGUACCUUGCAAAGAAGAGAUUUUCCAGGAUUAUCCAGACACGCCCUAAAUGUAAUCACAAGUGUGCUGAUAACAGACACAGAGAUGAAAGAUGCAGAGAAGAGGAGGCCACAUGAAGACAGAUAUAGAGACUCCAGUGAUGGAGGAACACAGCCAGGCGAGGACCACCAUGGGCUGCUGGCAGGCACCUGAGGCCAGGAGAGAGGUGGGAACAGAUGUUUCCCCUGAACGCAAGAGAACGUAGUUCUUCCAAUAACCUUGACUUCAGACUCCCAGUAACUUUUGUGGUUUUAAGGCAGUUAAGUUUGUGGUAAUUUGUUACAACAGCCACAAGAAACUAAUACAAGUAGGAGGCACCAGAGCAGCCCAGGAGCACAUGCCAUUUACUUGCAUGAGACUUCUUUGUUAAAAGGCUAGCUAAGAUAAACAGAGGUGCUGUCUCAGGUCUGCUGUAAACAACCUUCAACCUGACUGCCCGGCGCCAGGAUUUGGUUUGUAUUAACCCAAACCCCUAUCCACGAAUAUCUUCAAGACCCCUUUCUCUCAUGGCCACCAAGUUAAUGUUCACAGAUUCAUUGUCCCUUUGUGCACGUCCAUCACCAUGUUUGUAAGCCUUCUGAUCCUAAUAAAAAUGGGGCAAGGACCCUUACUCGGGGCUCUUGUCUUUUCCCCGACA